UCCGACUUAACGUCGGCAGUCUCUUUAGAGUGCCCAACUAAAUGCUGGCAACUAAAGACAAGGGUUGCGCUCGUUGCGGGACUUAACCCAACAUCUCACGACACGAGCUGACGACAGCCAUGCAGCACCUGUGUAGCAGCCCCGAAGGGAAGGGACAUUUCUGCCACCGAUCUACUACAUUUCAAACCCAGGUAAGGUUUUUCGCGUUGCAUCGAAUUAAACCACAUGCUCCACCGCUUGUGCGGGCCCCCGUCAAUUUCUUUGAGUUUUAACCUUGCGGCCGUACUCCCCAGGCGGGACACUUAACGCGUUAGCUUCGGCACUGAAGGGGUCAAUACCUCCAACACCAAGUGUCCAUUGUUUACGGCGUGGACUAC
rnacentral:misc_RNA from 1 species